UAGGGAAUCUUCCACAAUGGGCGCAAGCCUGAUGGAGCAACACCGCGUGGGUGAAGAAGGGUUUCGGCUCGUAAGGCUCUGUUGUUAAAGAAGAACACGUAUGAGAGUAACUGUUCAUACGUUGACGGUAUUUAACCAGAAAGUCACGGCUAACUACGCGCCAG
rnacentral:rRNA from 1 species